GACGAACGCUGGCGGCGUGCUUAACACAUGCAAGUCGAACGGAAAGGCCCUGCUUUUGUGGGGUGCUCGAGUGGCGAACGGGUGAGUAACACGUGAGUAACCUGCCCUUGACUUUGGGAUAACUUCAGGAAACUGGGGCUAAUACCGGAUAGGAGCUCCUGCUGCAUGGUGGGGGUUGGAAAGUUUCGGCGGUUGGGGAUGGACUCGCGGCUUAUCAGCUUGUUGGUGGGGUAGUGGCUUACCAAGGCUUUGACGGGUAGCCGGCCUGAGAGGGUGACCGGCGACAUUGGGACUGAGAGACGGCGCAGACUCCAACGGGAGGCAGGAGGGGGGAAUAUUGCAGAGCGGGGGGGAGCCAGAGACGGCAACCCCCGGAGCGGGAAGACGGGCUUCGGGGUAUAAACAGCUUUGGCCUGUGACGAAGCGUGAGUGACGGUAAUGGGUAAAGAAGCACCGGCUAACUACGUG
rnacentral:rRNA from 1 species